CAAUUAUUUCCCCAAAUUGAAACCUAGGUUGAAAUCAACGAUUUGCAUAAGCUCACUCGCUUCAGAUUGUUCAUCCUGAUUAAAGGUAAGCAAUCUGGAAGUUUACGAUUUCUUCUAGUUGAUAUCCAAACAUUUUAACAUUUAAAGAUGCAUAUUGCAGGCGUAAAAAAUGAUUAUUUGCAGGUAUUUUAUCAAGGUCGGAUAUCAAGUUAUCGUUUUGUAUUGGAGUGGAUAUUUGCAUUGAUUCUGCAACUUAUGUGCGUGUAAGGGAACCUACUAGUCGUAUUUUAGGUCUCUUCCUGAGGAUAUUUUGCUGGAAUGCUUUGAGCUCAUUGAUGAUUUCAAUUUUCAAGGUUUGUGGAUUAUCUUUCUCUAUGUUUUAUACUUUGACAUUGGUCAUGACUCAAAUGCAUUAAAUUGGCUUUGGAUAGGUUAUUUUGUAUGGUAUGAGUUAUUGAAUUGCUUCAUUAAAGAAUUCUAUA